GGGAGGAGAGAAAAGCCAUGGCCGACAAGGUCCUGAAGGAGAAGAGAAAGCAGUUUAUCCGUUCAGUGGGCGAAGGUACAAUAAAUGGCUUACUGGGUGAAUUAUUGGAGACAAGGGUGCUGAGCCAGGAAGAGAUAGAGAUAGUAAAAUGUGAAAAUGCUACAGUUAUGGAUAAGGCCCGAGCUUUGCUUGACUCUGUUAUUCGGAAAGGGGCUCCAGCAUGCCAAAUUUGCAUCACAUACAUUUGUGAAGAAGACAGUCACCUGGCAGGGACGCUGGGACUCUCAGCAGGUCCAACAUCUGGAAAUCACCUUACUACACAAGAUUCUCAAAUAGUACUUCCUUCCUAGGUUCAACUUUCAUUUGAGCAGCCAGAUGAUAAAGCACAGAUGCCCAGCACUGAAAGAGUUACUUCGACAAGACGUUUCUAUCUCUUCCCAGUACAUUAAAAUAAGGAAGCUGUAUG
rnacentral:lncRNA from 1 species